AGCAACUAGUCUGUAUUGAGAAGAGGACUGACAGAAACUGGUGCCAGGAAGACAUCCCAGUGCUAGUUUCAGUAGUAGAAGCAGCUGGGGUUCACUUUUCCAAGAAGAUCCUGCUGGAAGACUGUAGUCCAACACUAACUGUAACCAGUGGGAAGGACCAUAGGAGCUCAGAUAAAGCAGGAGAUAAUGAGACUCAAGACUGAACAAGGAUGACUCAAAUUCUGAGGUAUAAUGGACUAUGAAAACUGAGGACAAUCCAGAGUGGCUGAUGAAACAAAGGGAGGUGUUUUGAGAAAAAAAUAGAAAAAAUAAGAGACAAAGGCACUUCUUCAGCAUUCCUCAACUCAAACCAUGAACCUUAUACAAAUGUCUACUGUUGGAAUUCUGCCUCCCAAUUACUCCAGACACAGCUCUGUACAAUGUACAGUCCCCACAAUGACUGCCAAUACUCCCAUAGUCCUAUCUGAGAGCUGGUCUUCUUCACCCCUAAGUUUGCCAAGGAAGGUGUCUGAAAGCAGAGCGCUGGGGAAUGGCAGAACUGGAAGAAGCGAGGAAUGACUGUACAUAGCAGUACUACUUUUGGUUUGGUUUCUUAUGUUUUUUGUUGUUGUAGUUUGCUUUUUUUUUUUUUUAAAGUCUUAAGGAGUAUUACUACACUGUACAUCUUUGUUUCACAGUUUCCAAUUUCUACAUUUCUAUAGGUGCAAAAGUUUUAAAUGAAAAUUGAAAUCAUAGUCCCAUAUUCAGUCAAAAAUCAGAACAGGCAAACUGAAAAAGAUUUGGCACCACUACAGGAAACUGCAUAACACAUGACAGCUGUUGGGAACGACUCAGCCUUUUCCUAGAGGGAUCCAAGAAGCAAGAUUGUCUAGAGAACUGCUGAAUUCAUUUAUCGGUUUGUUUGCUCCAGCAUCUGAGCUACAGAGGACUCAGGAGAAGGACAUCCUGCAACAUAAGGCAGAGCACUGACCUAAGAUAUGCAGGAGUGCUAACCUUCCUUUAUAUGUAAAUAUUAUCUCUGUGGCAAAGGAGUCAUUCUAAGAAAUUAUAAACAGCUUUUGUAGACUGAAAGGUUGCACAUUCACUUUCCUCCACUUAACCACAGCAGAGAUUACAUCUUAUUCUGCUGCACUGGAUUCCAGCAUUUAAAAGAUUAACACACUCAUUUCACUUUUUACUGGGGAAAUUUUUUGUUAGGUUAAAACCUGACAUAAGGGAUCAUGUCAUGUAUGCAAGUUACUAUGCAUUUUCAUUAGAUAUGCAAAUAAGGACACAAAAUCAAAUUAAUCCCAAAGCCAAAAAUCUCCAGAUAUCCUGACCUAGCAUGCUUAAGUAGCGUAUGUAUGACUGCUUGUUCAUCACUGCAACUUUGGCUUGUUUCAUGAUUAACUACAAAUAAGCUGCAUAUAUGUCUGGUUUUUGUUGUUUUUUU
ensembl:lncRNA